AAAAAAGAAAUCGGCAUAACUGCCACAAUUCAGACCCGGCCCUGCGGCGCAGUGCCUGUGACGCCCCACGCCGCACACUUUCCCGAGAACCCUCUCCCCCGUUAGUGCGCCGCAAUGCCUGGCCGCCACGGCAAGCAGCGCGUGAAGCGCAAGAAGUCCAAGCGGCAGCCCGUGACGGACAUGGAGCGGACGCUGAAGGACAGCAUCCAUGGCCGGAAGCGAAAGGAGCGAAGCAUCCUCAAGAACCUGAUCCCACCCAAGGUGGUGCCCAAGGUGAACAAGGUCGCUAUGUCGAGCGCGCUGCCGAUGUUCCAGCCCCGAACCGGAAAGAAGCAGAGGAGCGCGUGACGCUGCUGCUGCUGCUGCUGGUGCGCUGCCCUGUCUUUCUCUCUCUGUUGGCCGCCGUCAGAGCUGAGGCUGUUCCACCCCCCUUUUUUUGCCUGUUUUGUGCGCUACUGAUUGUGGCGAUCCGAGUACGCACGAGGCACGGCACACACGUCUCCGUCUCCGUGUGUCUGCGCACGGGCGGUACGCGCCGCGUGAGGCAGCGCUCUUUUUUGUUGUGAGCCCGCAUGGCAGGUGAACCUCCCCCCCUUCUCACUGCUGAGAAGCGGAGAAGAGGAAAGUGGCAGGGGGAACGGCGCACGCGUGAGUAUUGCUUAAAGGGACCCAGUGCCCGCCAUCUCUGGAGCCGUCGAACUUUGUCAGCGCGGCUGGUUCGGCAGUGGGAAUGGCGGUUGCACCGAGGGUCUCUCUCUCCGAAUGCGUAUAAGGUAGUCUCCUGCCGCUGAGUGUGGCUGGGCGGUCUUUUUCUGCGCUCUGCAGGCGAUGCGGCGAGUAAAUAAGUGCAACUGCGCAUAGCGUCUUCACGUGAUCUCAUGGUAGUCCCGCUUGUGAAUCCUCACGAAUGGACAUUCUGGUGAAUUGUCUCUGUUGGUGUCUGUUUUAGUUUGUUGACUCGGGUUGUCGCUGCAGAAUCGCAGUUCCGUUGCUUCUGUUCCGUGCCACCUUCUCGAUAUUCUUCAGUCACAAGGUGAGCCACAACUUUCGAUGAGAAACGCUUCUGCGCGCCUCUUUAUCGUCCUCGGUCAACCUGAUCCGCUUCCCUAGAUGUGUCUACUAGGUGUGAGAUGCUAGUGCUUCUGCAUGUUCAUGCGCUCUCCCCCUUCUCCUGAUCAGACGCGCAAACCUGCCCCUGACUACGGCACCCAUAAGAUUUGUCGUUGCUCUCUGCGUUGUCACUCUAUCUGUCUGCUUAUCGCUGCGUAGUAGUGCGCUUGCUGCGUUUAGCCGUUUCUGGGUGCAGGCGGAGGCUGAGCUGUAGGGAGGAUAAAGACGGCACGCCACAGACGCGCACACACCCGCAGCAGAGAAGUAAAUGAUGUACAAACUCGCGAGGGCGGAAACAAAGCGGUAGCCGAUGGAUGGUGUGUGCGUGUGUGCGUCUCUAAGGGCAUCGUACCGUAUAACUGACUUUAUUCCUAUAGGCGCCUCCUUCCCCCUCCUCCUCCCCCCCUCGGAGGAGUCUUUCAUGAGAGCGCGCUAAAGGGCGCCCGUUACACGGGAGAGCGAAGCGCCCACUACACGACGUAGGCGCUACUCUUAAGCCAUCGGCUUCCAGUGCUCUCUUUUUUUUCUCGCUUGGUUACGUGAACAGAGGCGUUCAUGCUUGCGUGUAUGUGUGUCGUUGAUUUCGCUCUCCUUGGACGGCGUGAGUGCGCCGCCUAUGAACGUGCUGGUGGGCCACAACACGCUUCUACCCCGUAGUGAGUUGACAGCUGCGGCACAGACAGACGCCCGUUAU
rnacentral:misc_RNA from 1 species